rnacentral:rRNA from 1 species
GACGAACGCUGGCGGCGUGCUUAACACAUGCAAGUCGAACGGUAAGGCUCCAGCUUGCUGGGGUACACGAGUGGCGAACGGGUGAGUAACACGUGGGUGACCUGCCCUGCACUUCGGGAUAAGCCUGGGAAACUGGGUCUAAUACCGGAUAGGACCAUGGUGUGGAUACUGUGGUGGAAAGUUUUUUCGGUGUGGGAUGGGCCCGCGGCCUAUCAGCUUGUUGGUGGGGUAAUGGCCUACCAAGGCGGCGACGGGUAGCCGGCCUGAGAGGGGGGACGGCCACAUUGGGACUGAGACACGGCCCAGACUCCUACGGGAGGCAGCAGUGGGGAAUAUUGCACAAUGGGCGGAAGCCUGAUGCAGCGACGCCGCGUGGGGGAUGACGGCCUUCGGGUUGUAAACUCCUUUCACCAUCGACGAAGGGUUUCUGACGGUAGAUGGAGAAGAAGCACCGGCUAACUACGUG